rnacentral:tRNA from 2 species
GGCCGGUUAGCUCAGCUGGUUAGAGCGUGGUGCUAAUAACGCCAAGGUCACGGGUUCGAGCCCCGUAUUGGCCA